GGUCGAGGUUUGCCCCGCCCGGCACGUGACCGGAAGAAGGGCGUGAGCCGGGCUGGGCCGAGCCCGAACCCCCGGCAGAGGUAAUUAUCCCCCACCCCGUGUGUCGUUAAUCACCUAGGGGUAAAUUGGACUGAAGAGGGGGGCCUAAUAAUGGAGGACGAGGAGGCAAGUUGCCUCAGGGAGAGCAGGGGGUCCCGCAGCUGCUGGGCCCCAGGCUGCCAGGGCUGGACUUCGCUCGCCGGCCACGCUGGAGCUACGCCAUGACCCUGGAGGAGCUGCAGGAGGAGGUGGCGUUUGGUGGGGACCUGGUGGCAGCAGGAGACCUAACAACCCUGCCAACAACGCGCCCAGCGAUUGGCCGGCGACUGCAAGGUUGGGGGGGGGGGGGCAUACUGAAUGACAUCGGUAGGUUCCAGAGUGAACACGGCCCAAACCCUCCCCCCCACGAUGACAGCAUCAGCCACAGCUUUAUUUUUUCCAGCAGUUUAUUAUUAAUGUACAAAAUAUACAAAAGGGGGAGGGGCAGGCGCAGAGCCC